rnacentral:tRNA from 1 species
GGUAAUAUGGCUGAGAGUUAAGCGGCGGAUUGUAGUCCCGACGAAAGAGGUUCAAGUCCUUUAUUUAUCA